rnacentral:tRNA from 1 species
AGGGAUGGACCAUGGCUCAGUGGUAGAGCACAUGUUUGGCAUACAGGAGGUCCCUGGUUCAAUUCCUGGCAUCUCUG